GACGAACGCUGGCGGCGUGCUUAACACAUGCAAGUCGAACGGAAAGGCCCUGCUUUUGUGGGGUGCUCGAGUGGCGAACGGGUGAGUAACACGUGAGUAACCUGCCCUUGACUUUGGGAUAACUUCAGGAAACUGGGGCUAAUACCGGAUAGGAGCUCCUGCUGCAUGGGGGGGGUUGGAAAGUUUCGGCGGUUGGGGCUGGACUCGCGGCUUAUCAGCUUGUUGGUGGGGUAGUGGCUUACCAAGGCUUUGACGGGUAGCCGGCCUGAGAGGGUGACCGGCCACCAUGGGACUGAGAUACGGCCCAGACUCCUACGGGCGGCAGCAGUGGGGAAUAUUGCACAAUGGGCGGAAGCCUGAUGCAGCAACGCCGCGUGCGGGAUGACGGCCUUCGGGUUGUAAACCGCUUUCGCCUGUGACGAAGCGUGAGUGACGGUAAUGGGUAAAGAAGCACCGGCUAACUACGUG
rnacentral:rRNA from 1 species